rnacentral:rRNA from 1 species
UACGUAGGGGGCAAGCGUUAUCCGGAAUUACUGGGUGUAAAGGGUACGUAGGCGGUAUAGUAAGUCAGAUGUGAAAGCCCCGGGCUCAACCUGGGGACUGCAUUUGAAACUGCUUUACUAGAGUGCAGGAGAGGUAAGUGGAAUUCCUAGUGUAGCGGUGAAAUGCGUAGAUAUUAGGAGGAACACCAGUGGCGAAGGCGACUUACUGGACUGUAACUGACGCUGAGGUACGAAAGCGUGGGGAGCGAACAGG